rnacentral:rRNA from 1 species
UGGGGAAUAUUGCACAAUGGGCGCAAGCCUGAUGCAGCCAUGCCGCGUGUGUGAAGAAGGCCUUCGGGUUGUAAAGCACUUUCAGCGGGGAGGAAGGCGGUGAGGUUAAUAACCUCAUCGAUUGACGUUACCCGCAGAAGAAGCACCGGCUAACUCCGUGCCAGCAGCCGCGGUAAUACGGAGGGUGCAAGCGUUAAUCGGAAUUACUGGGCGUAAAGCGCACGCAGGCGGUCUGUCAAGUCGGAUGUGAAAUCCCCGGGCUCAACCUGGGAACUGCAUUAGAAACUGGCAGGCUAGAGUCUUGUAGAGGGGGGUAGAAUUCCAGGUGUAGCGGUGAAAUGCGUAGAGAUCUGGAGGAAUACCGGUGGCGAAGGCGGCCCCCUGGACAAAGACUGACGCUCAGGUGCGAAAGCGUGGGGAGCAAACAGG